rfam:Aliiroseovarius crassostreae strain CV919-312 NODE_10_length_105512_cov_143.289_ID_1, whole genome shotgun sequence.
UGCUUAUUUUGCACAGGCGGAGCUCGACCGCCCAUUCCGCAAAUGAUUGCCUUCAUCAAAGAUCAUCGCGGGGCGCAUGGGGUCGAGCCGAUCUGUAGAGUUCUCCAGAUUGCCCCU